rnacentral:rRNA from 1 species
UACGAAGGGGGCUAGCGUUGCUCGGAAUCACUGGGCGUAAAGGGUGCGUAGGCGGGGCUUUAAGUCAGGGGGGAAAUCCUGGAGCUCAACUCCAGAACUGCCUUUGAUACUGAGGAUCUUGAGUUCGGGAGAGGUGAGUGGAACUGCGAGUGUAGAGGUGAAAUUCGUAGAUAUUCGGAAGAACACCAGUGGCGAAGGCGACUUACUGGACACAUAUUGACGCUGAGGUGCGAAAGCGUGGGGAGCAAACAGG